UACAGAGGGUGCGAGCGUUGUCCGGAAUCACUGGGCGUAAAGGGCGCGUAGGUGGCGCGACAAGUCAGUGGUGGAAGCUCGACGCUCAACGUCGAGUCGGCCACUGAUACUGUUGGGCUUGAGCACUGUAGAGGCUAAUGGAAUUCCGGGUGUAGCGGUGGAAUGCGUAGAGAUCCGGAAGAACACCGGUGGCGAAGGCGGUUAGCUGGGCAGUUGCUGACACUGAGGCGCGACAGCGUGGGGAGCAAACAGG
rnacentral:rRNA from 1 species